rnacentral:lncRNA from 1 species
AUCACUAACUCAAGUUAUUUAAUAAGGAUUCGCAUGAAAUUUCAUUUAAAAAUAAAAUAAUACUAUUUUGUUCUUACUUCCAGGUAUAGGUUAAAUACUUAAUUGGGCAAUCAAAAGAUUCUUUUCUACAAAGUUGAUCUAAAUUCUUCUCCUUGAGUCAGCAAAUUUAAAUUACUUUCCUUUCAUGUCUUUUUCACAUUGAGAGUCUAUAGCUUUUUGCAUUAUUUUCCUUUCAUAUUUAGACAAGUUAGCAUUGAAAAGUAACUUGUAAUGGGCAAAUAAAUUAUUGUGCCCGAUUCAGAGAAUUGAACCUAUGUCAACUUCUAUAUAAAUGCAUUUUGGUAUCACAUCAGAUUUGUCAUAAUCAUAGUGAGUUAUAGUAAUUUUAUAAAGUUAUAUUUUAUAGUUUUUGCAAAAUCACAAUAUCAUGAUUAUGACAAAGUUAUUAUGGUACCAAACUAAACAUAUACAUGUGAGUUUGUUUCUUGUUAUGAUACCUAAAUAUAAUCUUUGAAUUGGAUACUUUUAGAAAUGUCAUUUGAUUUGGUAGGAACAUAAAUAAUUGAAGGAAGUGUGACAUCUUCCGAAGAGAAAAGACUAGAAUAUGCAAAAAGUUCAAUGGUGAGAUGAUGGCUAGCUACCCAAAACCGGAAACCUAUAGUUGAGGGUGGGCGUAAUUAAUCAUACCAUUAGAUAUAUGUCAUUUUCUGCAUACCAAUAGCAAUAUAUCCCCCCUUUCUCAAAUUCAUCAUAUUUUCUAACGAGCACAUGUUCUUAGUUAGCCGAUCAAUCUUAAUCAAAUGACAUGUAUUUGACUUUGCCAACAGAUCCAACACAUGAAGUCUUAAUCAUAUCAACUUGAUUGGCAAUCCACUUUCUCUCUCUUUAUUACCUAUAAAAUCUAACUCAACUGUCGCAGUCGAUGUUGCUUAGUUUAACAUUUUCACUCGGGUUUAAAUUCAGAAUCUCACAAUUGUGCGUGUGAGAUUCAACGUAUUUGUCUCAGUAAGUAAGGUAAAAUCUCUGUUUUGUAGCUUCUUGGAAUCACGACAACUUUGUCUCGGUAAAUCUACCGACGCGCGUCUCUAACCACCUGAUCACAGCUCUCAUGUUCUUGUUUGUGUUGAUUUUAAUACCAAUAUUAAUUGCUGUAAUGUCGGUUGUAAAACUGAGAGGAAUCAGAAUCCAUAGAAUCACGAGGGGCAGGCCAAUGGCAAGGCUGUAUCCAAUGGAUUUUCACAUUUCAAUAUUUGUCCUCCAUUAUAUAGAUUCUCUAAUCCCCCUUAAUUUGUCUCUCUCAGAAAGUUUCCUCUGUCACGGACAUGGUUUGUGGUUUGUGCAACGCACAUAGAAAAGUUCCACAAUCCACACUAUAAUAAGUAUAUAAUCUUUCUGUAGAAACAAACAAAAUAUACUCUUUCUGUAGCAAGAAAGAGUAAUUUUCUUACCAUAUA